rnacentral:rRNA from 1 species
CAGCACCUCAAGUGGUCAGGAUGAUUAUUGGGCCUAAAGCAUCCGUAGCCGGCGCUGUAAGUUUUCGGUUAAAUCUGUACGCUCAACGUACAGGCUGCCGGGAAUACUGCAGCGCUAGGGAGUGGGAGAGGUAGACGGUACUCGGUAGGAAGGGGUAAAAUCCUUUGAUCUAUUGUUGACCACCUGUGGCGAAGGCGGUCUACCAGAACACGUCCGACGGUGAGGGAUGAAAGCUGGGGGAGCAAACCGGAUUAGAUACCCGAGUAGUCC